GGUUGGAUGGUCUAAAGAUAGCACACAAAAUUACGAUUCCCGUAAUCGGGGUUCGAUUCCCCGUCAAACUU